rnacentral:rRNA from 1 species
UACAGAGGUCUCAAGCGUUGUUCGGAUUCAUUGGGCGUAAAGGGUGCGUAGGUGGCUCGCUAAGUCAGGUGUGAAAUUUCGGAGCUUAACUCCGAAACUGCAUUUGAUACUGGCGUGCUUGAGGACUGGAGAGGAGACUGGAAUUCAUGGUGUAGCAGUGAAAUGCGUAGAGAUCAUGAGGAAGACCAGUGGCGAAGGCGGGUCUCUGGACAGUUCCUGACGCUGAGGCACGAAGGUCAGGGGAGCAAACGGG